GAUGAACGCUGGCGGCGUGCUUAACACAUGCAAGUCGAACGGAAAGGCCCAAGCUUGCUUGGGUACUCGAGUGGCGAACGGGUGAGUAACACGUGGGUGAUCUGCCCUGCACUUCGGGAUAAGCCUGGGAAACUGGGUCUAAUACCGGAUAGGACCACUUCUUGGAUGUUGUUGUGGAAAGUUUUUUCGGUGUGGGAUGAGCUCGCGGCCUAUCAGCUUGUUGGUGGGGUAAUGGCCUACCAAGGCGUCGACGGGUAGCCGGCCUGAGAGGGUGUACGGCCACAUUGGGACUGAGAUACGGCCCAGACUCCUACGGGAGGCAGCAGUGGGGAAUAGUGCACAAUGGGCGCAAGCCUGAUGCAGCGAGGCCGAGUGGGGGAUGACGGCCUUCGGGUUGUAAACUCCUUUCGCAAGGGACGAAGCGUUGUGUGACGGUACCUGGAGAAGAAGCACCGGCUAACUACGUG
rnacentral:rRNA from 1 species